UCUAGACGCGGAAAGGAUGAAUCGCGAAGGUGGCGCUGAUGCUUGGGGUUCUCAAAGGCCAGAAACACCGCCUUGGGAUGCAGCAGAGUAUAGUCAACUCAUCUCUGCAGGGCCGUUGCUGCCACUACUAGAACAGUAUGCAGGCGUAGGUUCUUAUGACCAAAACACUCUCAGGGGGGCCCCAUGGCAAGUUCAGUCACAAGGCGCUAACACUGACAUAUUUACGGGCAACCAACCUCAACUAGCUAGUAUGGCUAAUCAAGGUAAUGCAAAACCAAAAAAACACAUACUGCUGUGGACGUGAAAAAUGGACAUGCAAAAAAACUGGCAAGAGGACUCACGAGUUAUCACGGGUGAAAAUGCAGGGCCUUCAUGCAGCACGUGGCAUCAGCCAGCACCCAUGUACCUGCCAUCGACGUCAUACACAGCGUAUUACGCUGGUGGUGACACGGCAAUCGUCCCGUGGCAAGCUUCACAAAUUGCAGG